rnacentral:rRNA from 1 species
AUGAACGCUAGCUACAGGCUUAACACAUGCAAGUCGAGGGGCAGCAUGGUCUUAGCUUGCUAAGGCCGAUGGCGACCGGCGCACGGGUGAGUAACACGUAUCCAACCUGCCGUCUACUCUUGGACAGCCUUCUGAAAGGAAGAUUAAUACAAGAUGGCAUCAUGAGUCCGCAUGUUCACAUGAUUAAAGGUAUUCCGGUAGACGAUGGGGAUGCGUUCCAUUAGAUAGUAGGCGGGGUAACGGCCCACCUAGUCUUCGAUGGAUAGGGGUUCUGAGAGGAAGGUCCCCCACAUUGGAACUGAGACACGGUCCAAACUCCUACGGGAGGCAGCAGUGAGGAAUAUUGGUCAAUGGGCGAGAGCCUGAACCAGCCAAGUAGCGUGAAGGAUGACUGCCCUAUGGGUUGUAAACUUCUUUUAUAAAGGAAUAAAGUCGGGUAUGCAUACCCGUUUGCAUGUACUUUAUGAAUAAGGAUCGGCUAACUCCGUGCCAGCAGCCGCGGUAAUACGGAGGAUCCGAGCGUUAUCCGGAUUUAUUGGGUUUAAAGGGAGCGUAGAUGGAUGUUUAAGUCAGUUGUGAAAGUUUGCGGCUCAACCGUAAAAUUGCAGUUGAUACUGGAUAUCUUGAGUGCAGUUGAGGCAGGCGGAAUUCGUGGUGUAGCGGUGAAAUGCUUAGAUAUCACGAAGAACUCCGAUUGCGAAGGCAGCCUGCUAAGCUGCAACUGACAUUGAGGCUCGAAAGUGUGGGUAUCAAACAGGAUUAGAUACCCUGGUAGUCCACACGGUAAACGAUGAAUACUCGCUGUUUGCGAUAUACAGCAAGCGGCCAAGCGAAAGCGUUAAGUAUUCCACCUGGGGAGUACGCCGGCAACGGUGAAACUCAAAGGAAUUGACGGGGGCCCGCACAAGCGGAGGAACAUGUGGUUUAAUUCGAUGAUACGCGAGGAACCUUACCCGGGCUUAAAUUGCAGAUGAAUUACGGUGAAAGCCGUAAGCCGCAAGGCAUCUGUGAAGGUGCUGCAUGGUUGUCGUCAGCUCGUGCCGUGAGGUGUCGGCUUAAGUGCCAUAACGAGCGCAACCCUUGUUGUCAGUUACUAACAGGUUCCGCUGAGGACUCUGACAAGACUGCCAUCGUAAGAUGUGAGGAAGGUGGGGAUGACGUCAAAUCAGCACGGCCCUUACGUCCGGGGCUACACACGUGUUACAAUGGGGGGUACAGAGGGCCGCUACCACGCGAGUGGAUGCCAAUCCCAAAAACCUCUCUCAGUUCGGACUGGAGUCUGCAACCCGACUCCACGAAGCUGGAUUCGCUAGUAAUCGCGCAUCAGCCACGACGCGGUGAAUACGUUCCCGGGCCUUGUACACACCGCCCGUCAAGCCAUGGGAGCCGGGGGUACCUGAAGUGCGUAACCGCGAGGAGCGCCCUAGGGUAAAACUGGUGACUGGGGCU